CUUUGAGAAAGUUGAGCUUUAUGAUAUCUGCCCCGCAGCAUGUGUAGGUUGAAUAUUGCAUUCCUGUAGGAGGUCUUGAUUUCAGAUUUGGAGUUUGGUUGCAAACUCUAAGAGGUUGUUACGGAUGUUUUUGGGAACGGUUGCCCGACUUAUUUAUGUCUACUAAUUGCAACUCUUCGUGAAUGGUUUUAUGUUGGAAGGAAACUGCAAAAAAAAAAAAAAAAAAAAAGACAAAAAAUGUGAUAAGAGAUGCCACGUAGCUACUUAUAUUUACUUUAGUUUUAUGAAUUUGUGAAUUUCACCUCAUUCCAGUUCAAAAUUUUCAAGUUCCGCCGGGCAACAGCUUCCACACUGCACGGCGAUGGAUCCUCCGGAAGGAAGAGUUUGUAAGCAAUUUAUCAGGAACUUCAAUGCUGGAACUAUUUCUUCUCAUCACUACUCUCUCUAUGAUUCUAUUUCUACGUUCAGUAUAUUCCAGCACCAAAAAAGGUCCUAAUUCUGCAGAGGCCUUGUUGAA